CAGAAGUAGGAUGAGUCACUGGAUCCAUUUUCAGUUUCUUCCACCCACUUAUCCAUCCUUUGCAGGCACCCCAGAAAGGAUUGCCUCAGAGCUGGCACCAGUGGAAGAGUGACAGAGGCCCAGCAACAAGGCAGAAUUGGCAGGCAGGCAUGAGCAUGUGAUGAGCUGAGCUCACAAAGGGCCUGGAUGUUGGGCUGCAGGAGAUUGGACUGGUGCCUGUUUGUCCGCCUGCCUUUCCUCCUUCCCCCAGCAGAUUCAGUUCCCCUUGAAGGUCACAACAUUGUAUGGAACUUAACAUCAUGAGAAUGUCCACAAAAUGACCAACAAACAUUUUCCUCCCAAGAGAGAGGGUGAAAUUGGAGAGCUGGAUGGGAAAGUUUUGCCUUGCAAUGUCAUCUGUUAUAUAACCAUAAAAGGAAGUCAAGGAAACCUACUGCUUGGGGAAAAAAAAAGAAGAGGCCCUAGAGACUCUGUUCCAUUCGCUGCAUACAUGGAGAAAUAACCUUCCUGGAAUUUCCUUACAAAUAGAAGCUGUCACCGGUAUUUCACUCCCCAACUGAACUAGGCCUGUGGUUCAUAGUUCUGCAGCCGAAAUUCUGAUACCGGAACCAAGGAACAAAGGGAGACAGACCUAUUCGUGAAUGUUGCGCCUCACAAUCAGGAAAGAAGGAAAGGAAAAUAAAGAGUUUCUUUCUAAUGAAUAAGGACUUUCCCCCACUGCAACCCCACCCAAAAAUCUCUGGUUUCUUGUUCUUUACAAUCAUUCCAACUUUCGGUGACUUUGAGAUUUGCAGACCAUUAUAAAAAUGAACCUACAAUGGAAAAGAAUCUGAAAAAUAAUAUAUAUAUGUAUGUAUAUCAUAUAUGUAU